UGGGGAAUAUUGGACAAUGGGCGAAAGCCUGAUCCAGCCAUGCCGCGUGUGUGAAGAAGGUCUUCGGCUUGUAAAGCACUUUAAGUUGGGAGGAAGGGCAUUAACCUAAUACGUUAGUGUUUUGACGUUACCGACAGAAUAAGCACCGGCUAACUCUGUGCCAGCAGCCGCGGUAAUACAGAGGGUGCAAGCGUUAAUCGGAAUUACUGGGCGUAAAGCGCGCGUAGGUGGUUUGUUAAGUUGGAUGUGAAAUCCCCGGGCUCAACCUGGGAACUGCAUUCAAAACUGACUGACUAGAGUAUGGUAGAGGGUGGUGGAAUUGCCUGUGUAGCGGUGAAAUGCGUAGAUAUAGGAAGGAACACCAGUGGCGAAGGCGACCACCUGGACUAAUACUGACACUGAGGUGCGAAAGCGUGGGGAGCAAACA
rnacentral:rRNA from 1 species